rnacentral:rRNA from 1 species
CCUACGGGAGACAGCAGUGAGGAAUAUUGGUCAAUGGACGAGAGUCUGAACCAGCCAAGUAGCGUGAAGGAUGACUGCCCUAUGGGUUGUAAACUUCUUUUAUAUGGGAAUAAAAUGUUCCACGUGUGGGAUUUUGUAUGUACCAUAUGAAUACGGAUCGGCUAACUCCGUGCCAGCAGCCGCGGUAAUACGGAGGAUCCGAGCGUUAUCCGGAUUUAUUGGGUUUAAAGGGAGCGUAGGUGGAUUGUUAAGUCAGUUGUGAAAGUUUGCGGCUCAACCGUAAAAUUGCAGUUGAAACUGGCAGUCUUGAGUACAGUAGAGGUGGGCGGAAUUCGUGGUGUAGCGGUGAAAUGCUUAGAUAUCACGAAGAACUCCGAUUGCGAAGGCAGUUCACUGGACUGCAACUGACACUGAGGCUCGAAAGUGUGGGUAUCAAACAGGAUUAGAUACCCGAGUAGUC